UACGUAGGGUGCGAGCGUUGUCCGGAAUUAUUGGGCGUAAAGAGCUUGUAGGCGGUUUGUCGCGUCUGCUGUGAAAUCUCAAGGCUCAACCUUGAGCUUGCAGUGGGUACGGGCAGACUAGAGUGUGGUAGGGGAGACUGGAAUUCCUGGCGUAGCGGUGAAAUGCGCAGAUAUCAGGAGGAACACCUAUUGCGAAGGCAGCUCGCUGGGACGUAACUGACGCUGAGACGCGAAAGCGUGGGGAGCAAACAGG
rnacentral:rRNA from 1 species